ACAACCUCGUUACUGGUUCGAGUCAUACACUACCUCCUGUAAGCAAAGGAAAUUCAAACAAAUCAACAAAUAUUUUCCAAAAAAAAUAAGAAAUAAACACUAAGAAAAGUUGUAUCUAUUACCCUAUCUUUUGCCAAUUAUCUCCUUAAACGGUGUGCAAUAAUGCUAAAAAUCACUCAAUCUAACACCGGCUCCCCGACAAUAAC
rnacentral:lncRNA from 1 species